GAGAGGGAGAGAGAGAGAGAGAGAGAGUAGAAUUUGAGAAAGAGAGAGCGAAGAGAAGAUGCCGAAGUUCGAUCCGUGGCCGGUGUUCUUCAAGAGAGAGUGGAAUCGGAACUGGCCUUUCCUGGUGGGUUUCGCCAUUACUGGAGCCAUCAUCACCAAGUUGUCUCUUGGUCUCACUGAGGAAGAUGCGAAGAACUCUGCCUUCGUUCAGAGGCACAAGAGGUGACCUACGAAUGACAGCGCAGCUGCUAGGAAGGACAGUCAUAUUGUGAGAAGGGUGUUUUUCUUGCUUUCGUUUCCAUGGGUUUAAAUAACAGAUUAGAGAUGUUCGGGAUACUCUAAUUUUAUUUUCUCAUCAGCUGUUGUUUUUGGCAUGAAUAAUAGUGAACGACUCCUGUUGAUUGGUCUAUGGUCAUGCACCCUUUGCACUUGAACUGACUAUUGUUUACGUCAAAUUAAACUCGAGUGGCUUCAUAUAUAUAUGUUUUUUUGUGAGGUAAAUUUCAUUUGGAUUCACUUGGCCGUUUGGCUUGGGUCAAAACUGCAGAAUCUAUUUGUAGUUGUCUCAUUUGGGAAUAUAUAUAUAUAUAAUCGAUGUUAAUUUA